rnacentral:rRNA from 1 species
GUGGGGAAUAUUGGACAAUGGGCGCAAGCCUGAUCCAGCCAUGCCGCGUGAGUGAUGAAGGCCUUAGGGUUGUAAAGCUCUUUCAGUAGGGAAGAUAAUGACGGUACCUACAGAAGAAGCCCCGGCUAACUUCGUGCCAGCAGCCGCGGUAAUACGAAGGGGGCUAGCGUUGUUCGGAUUUACUGGGCGUAAAGCGCACGUAGGCGGAAUGUUAAGUCAGAGGUGAAAUCCUGGAGCUCAACUCCAGAACUGCCUUUGAUACUGGCAAUCUCGAGUACGGAAGAGGUGAGUGGAACUCCUAGUGUAGAGGUGGAAUUCGUAGAUAUUAGGAAGAACACCAGUGGCGAAGGCGGCUCACUGGUCCGGUACUGACGCUGAGGUGCGAAAGCGUGGGGAGCAAACAGGAUUAGAUACCCGUGUAGUCC